rnacentral:rRNA from 1 species
UCUAUGCGCGUGCUAUACAUGCAAGUCGAGCGGACGGAUGGGAGCUUGCUCCCUGAAGUCAGCGGCGGACGGGUGAGUAACACGUGGGCAACCUGCCUGUAAGACUGGGAUAACUCCGGGAAACCGGGGCUAAUACCGGAUAACUCUUUUCCUCACAUGAGGAAAAGCUGAAAGAUGGUUUCGGCUAUCACUUACAGAUGGGCCCGCGGCGCAUUAGCUAGUUGGUGAGGUAACGGCUCACCAAGGCCACGAUGCGUAGCCGACCUGAGAGGGUGAUCGGCCACACUGGGACUGAGACACGGCCCAGACUCCUACGGGAGGCAGCAGUAGGGAAUCUUCCGCAAUGGACGAAAGUCUGACGGAGCAACGCCGCGUGAGUGAUGAAGGUUUUCGGAUCGUAAAACUCUGUUGUCAGGGAAGAACAAGUACCGGAGUAACUGCCGGUACCUUGACGGUACCUGACCAGAAAGCCACGGCUAACUACGUGCCAGCAGCCGCGGUAAUACGUAGGUGGCAAGCGUUGUCCGGAAUUAUUGGGCGUAAAGCGCGCGCAGGCGGUUCCUUAAGUCUGAUGUGAAAGCCCCCGGCUCAACCGGGGAGGGUCAUUGGAAACUGGGGAACUUGAGUGCAGAAGAGAAGAGUGGAAUUCCACGUGUAGCGGUGAAAUGCGUAGAGAUGUGGAGGAACACCAGUGGCGAAGGCGACUCUUUGGUCUGUAACUGACGCUGAGGCGCGAAAGCGUGGGGAGCAAACAGGAUUAGAUACCCUGGUAGUCCACGCCGUAAACGAUGAGUGCUAAGUGUUAGAGGGUUUCCGCCCUUUAGUGCUGCAGCAAACGCAUUAAGCACUCCGCCUGGGGAGUACGGCCGCAAGGCUGAAACUCAAAGGAAUUGACGGGGGCCCGCACAAGCGGUGGAGCAUGGG